UAGUGAACCAGUACCGUGAGGGAAAGGCGAAAAGAACCCCGGCGAGGGGAGUGAAAAAGAACCUGAAACCGUGUACGUACAAGCAGUGGGAGCCUCUUUAUGGGGUGACUGCGUACCUUUUGUAUAAUGGGUCAGCGACUUAUAUUCUGUAGCAAGGUUAACCGAAUAGGGGAGCCGAAGGGAAACCGAGUCUUAACUGGGCGUUAAGUUGCAGGGUAUAGACCCGAAACCCGGUGAUCUAGCCAUGGGCAGGUUGAAGGUUGGGUAACACUAACUGGAGGACCGAACCGACUAAUGUUGAAAAAUUAGCGGAUGACUUGUGGCUGGGGGUGAAAGGCCAAUCAAACCGGGAGAUAGCUGGUUCUCCCCGAAAGCUAUUUAGGUAGCGCCUCGUGAAUUCAUCUCCGGGGGUAGAGCACUGUUUCGGCAAGGGGGUCAUCCCGACUUACCAACCCGAUGCAAACUGCGAAUACCGGAGAAUGUUAUCACGGGAGACACACGGCGGGUGCUAACGUCCGUCGUGAAGAGGGAAACAACCCAGACCGCCAGCUAAGGUCCCAAAGUCAUGGUUAAGUGGGAAACGAUGUGGGAAGGCCCAGACAGCCAGGAUGUUGGCUUAGAAGCAGCCAUCAUUUAAAGAAAGCGUAAUAGCUCACUGGUCGAGUCGGCCUGCGCGGAAGAUGUAACGGGGCUAAACCAUGCACCGAAGCUGCGGCAGCGACACUAUGUGUUGUUGGGUAGGGGAGCGUUCUGUAAGCCUGUGAAGGUGUACUGUGAGGUAUGCUGGAGGUAUCAGAAGUGCGAAUGCUGACAUAAGUAACGAUAAAGCGGGUGAAAAGCCCGCUCGCCGGAAGACCAAGGGUUCCUGUCCAACGUUAAUCGGGGCAGGGUGAGUCGACCCCUAAGGCGAGGCCGAAAGGCGUAGUCGAUGGGAAACAGGUUAAUAUUCCUGUACUUGGUGUUACUGCGAAGGGGGGACGGAGAAGGCUAUGUUGGCCGGGCGACGGUUGUCCCGGUUUAAGCGUGUAGGCUGAUUUUCCAGGCAAAUCCGGAAAAUCAAGGCUGAGGCGUGAUGACGAGGCACUACGGUGCUGAAGCAACAAAUGCCCUGCUUCCAGGAAAAGCCUCUAAGCAUCAGGUAACAUCAAAUCGUACCCCAAACCGACACAGGUGGUCAGGUAGAGAAUACCAAGGCGCUUGAGAGAACUCGGGUGAAGGAACUAGGCAAAAUGGUGCCGUAACUUCGGGAGAAGGCACGCUGAUAUGUAGGUGAAGCGACUUGCUCGUGGAGCUGAAAUCAGUCGAAGAUACCAGCUGGCUGCAACUGUUUAUUAAAAACACAGCACUGUGCAAACACGAAAGUGGACGUAUACGGUGUGACGCCUGCCCGGUGCCGGAAGGUUAAUUGAUGGGGUUAGCGGUAACGCGAAGCUCUUGAUCGAAGCCCCGGUAAACGGCGGCCGUAACUAUAACGGUCCUAAGGUAGCGAAAUUCCUUGUCGGGUAAGUUCCGACCUGCACGAAUGGCGUAAUGAUGGCCAGGCUGUCUCCACCCGAGACUCAGUGAAAUUGAACUCGCUGUGAAGAUGCAGUGUACCCGCGGCAAGACGGAAAGACCCCGUGAACCUUUACUAUAGCUUGACACUGAACAUUGAGCCUUGAUGUGUAGGAUAGGUGGGAGGCUUUGAAGUGUGGACGCCAGUCUGCAUGGAGCCGACCUUGAAAUACCACCCUUUAAUGUUUGAUGUUCUAACGUUGACCCGUGAUCCGGGUUGCGGACAGUGUCUGGUGGGUAGUUUGACUGGGGCGGUCUCCUCCUAAAGAGUAACGGAGGAGCACGAAGGUUGGCUAAUCCUGGUCGGACAUCAGGAGGUUAGUGCAAUGGCAUAAGCCAGCUUGACUGCGAGCGUGACGGCGCGAGCAGGUGCGAAAGCAGGUCAUAGUGAUCCGGUGGUUCUGAAUGGAAGGGCCAUCGCUCAACGGAUAAAAGGUACUCCGGGGAUAACAGGCUGAUACCGCCCAAGAGUUCAUAUCGACGGCGGUGUUUGGCACCUCGAUGUCGGCUCAUCACAUCCUGGGGCUGAAGUAGGUCCCAAGGGUAUGGCUGUUCGCCAUUUAAAGUGGUACGCGAGCUGGGUUUAGAACGUCGUGAGACAGUUCGGUCCCUAUCUGCCGUGGGCGCUGGAGAACUGAGGGGGGCUGCUCCUAGUACGAGAGGACCGGAGUGGACGCAUCACUGGUGUUCGGGUUGUCAUGCCAAUGGCACUGCCCGGUAGCUAAAUGCGGAAGAGAUAAGUGCUGAAAGCAUCUAAGCACGAAACUUGCCCCGAGAUGAGUUCUCCCUGACUCCCUGAGAGUCCUGAAGGAACGUUGAAGACGACGACGUUGAUAGGCCGGGUGUGUAAGCGCAGCGAUGCGUUGAGCUAACCGGUACUAAUGAACCGUGAGGCUUAACCUU
rnacentral:rRNA from 1 species